GUCCCUAUAGUGUAAUGGAUAACACGCAAGAUUCCGGUUCUUGAAAUCCGGGUUCGACUCCUGGUAGGGGCG
rnacentral:tRNA from 1 species